UCCUCCCUCUUUCUUCGUGCUUAACACAUGCAAGUCGAACGGUGAAGCGCCUUCCUUUUUGGUGGGUGUGGAUGAGUGGCGAACGGGUGAGUAACACGUGAGUAACCUGCCCCCUUCUUCUGGAUAACCGCAUGAAAGUGUGGCUAAUACGGGAUAUUCUGGGUCUGUCGCAUGAUGGGUCUGGGACAGAUAUUGUUUCGGUGGGGGAUGGGCUCGCGGCCUAUCAGCUUGUUGGUGGGGUGAUGGCCUGCCAAGGCGGUGACGGGUAGCCGGCCUGAGAGGGUGGACGGUCACACUGGGACUGAGACACGGCCCAGACUCCUACGGGAGGCAGCAGUGGGGAAUAUGGCACAAUGGGCGCAAGCCUGAUGCAGCGACGCCGCGUGAGGGAUGGAGGCCUUCGGGUUGUGAACCUCUUUCGCCAGUGAAGCAGGCCUGCCUCGUUUGUGGGUGGGUUGACGGUAGCUGGAUAAGAAGCGCCGGCUAACUACGUG
rnacentral:rRNA from 1 species